rfam:Gorilla gorilla gorilla genomic chromosome, chr19, whole genome shotgun sequence
GCAGGGCAUGGUGGUGCAUGCCUGUAGUCCUAGCUACUCAGGAGGCUGAGGUGGGAGGAUUGUUUGAGCCCAGGAGUUCAAGGCUUCAGUGAGCUAUGAUUGCACAACUGCACUCCAGCCUGGGCAACAGAACAAGACCCUGUCUCUG